UAAGGGCGUACGGCGGAUGCCUUGGCGAUAUCAGCCGAAGAAGGACGCGGUAAGCUGCGAUAAGCUACGGAGAGGUGCAAGCAACCUUUGACCCGUAGAUUUCCGAAUGGGGGAACCCGGCAGUGGUUAUGCACUGUCACCCAUACCUUUGAGUAUGAGGAGGGCACCUGGGGAACUGAAACAUCUAAUUACCCAGAGGAAGAGUAAUCAAACGAGAUUUUCUUAGUAGCGGCGAGCGAACGGGAAAGAGGCCAAACCGGAGCGGGCAACCGCACCGGGGUUGAGGACAGUCAUCAAGUGUAAAUGAGGUAGAAGAAUCGAGUUGGAAAGCUCAGCCGCAGAAGGUGAAAGCCCUGUAAUCGAAACCUUGCAUACAUGGGACUGUAUCCAGAGUACCACGAGACACGUGAAACCUUGUGGGAAGCAGGGGGGACCACCCUCCAAGCCAAAAUACUGAUAUCGACCGAUAGCGCAUAGUACCGUGAGGGAAAGGUGAAAAGAACCCCUGGCGGGGAGUGAAAGAGAACCUGAAACCGUAUGUCUACAAACAGUCGAAGUCUGUAUAUAUAUCAGGACGACGGCGUGCCUAUUGAAGAAUGAACCGACGAGUUACUGUUGCUAGCGAGGUUAAGUGGAAAACAUGGAGCCGCAGCGAAAGCGAGUCUGAACAGGGCGUUCAGUUAGUGAUAGUAGACCCGAAACCGUAGUGAUCUAUCCAUGGCCAGGUUGAAGCACAGGUAAAAUUGUGUGGAGGACCGAACUCGUGAGCGUUGAAAAGCUUUGGGAUGAGUUGUGGAUAGGGGUGAAAUGCCAAUCGAACACGGAGAUAGCUGGUUCUCCCCGAAAUAGCUUUAGGGCUAGCCUCGAGGUUGAGAGUAUAGGCGGUAGAGCACUGAUCGGGCUAGGGGCCAUACCGGUUACCGAACCUAGUCAAACUACGAAUGGCUAUACUUAUACUCGGGAGUCAGACAGUGAAUGAUAAGGUCCAUUGUCAAGAGGGAAACAGCCCAGAACACCGACUAAGGUCCCCAAUGUCAUACUAAGUGGCGAAGGAUGUGGAAUUUCCAAAACAACCAGGAUGUUGGCUUAGAAGCAGCCACCAUUUAAAGAGUGCGUAAUAGCUCACUGGUCGAGAGACUCUGCGCCGAAAAUGUCCGGGGCUAAAGUAUGAAACCGAAGUCGUGUCAUAUGCAGCAAUGUAUAUGGGUAGGGGAGCGUUCUCAUCGGAUUGAAGCAGUACCGUAAGGAGUUGUGGACUGGUGAGAAGUGAGAAUGUCGGUAUGAGUAGCGAAAAGAAUGGUGAGAAUCCAUUCCACCGAAAGCCUAAGGGUUCCUGAGCAACGAUCGUCGUCUCAGGGUAAGUCGGGACCUAAGCCGAGGCGGAAAAGCGUAGGCGAUGGACAACAGGUUGAAAUUCCUGUACCGGUGUGAAUCGUUUGAUCGAAGGAGUGACACAGUAAGGUAGGUCAGCACGCGAUUGGAAGUGCGUGUUUAAGCAUGUAGGUUGAGUUAUAGGCAAAUCCGUAACUCUAAAAGCUGAGAUGUGAUGACGAGCUGUUUACAGCGAAGUGAUUGAUCCUACACUGUCGAGAAAAGCUUCUAGGUAGAGACACAUCGCCCGUACCAAAACCGACACAGGUAGGCGGGGAGAGAAUCCUAAGGUGCGCGGGAAAACCCUCGUUAAGGAACUCGGCAAAAUGCCUCCGUAACUUCGGGAAAAGGAGGACUCAUGUAGUGUGAAGGGCAGUAACGCGUGGAGCAUGAAUGAGUGGCACAAGAGAGGCGCAAGCGACUGUUUACCACAAACACAGGUGCCUGCUAAAGCGAAAGCUGAUGUAUAGGUGCUGACACCUGCCCGGUGCUGGAAGGUUAAGAGGAGGGGUUAGACUUCGGUCGAAGCUCUGAAUUGAAGCCCCAGUAAACGGCGGCCGUAACUAUAACGGUCCUAAGGUAGCGAAAUUCCUUGUCGGGUAAGUUCCGACCCGCACGAAAGGUGUAACGACUUGCGCACUGUCUCAACGAGGGACCCGGUGAAAUUGAAGUACCUGUGAAGAUGCAGGUUACCCGCGACUGGACAGAAAGACCCCAUGGAGCUUUACUGCAACCUAAGAUUGAACUUAGUUAAUGAAUGUACAGGAUAGGUGGGAGAC
rnacentral:rRNA from 1 species